rnacentral:rRNA from 1 species
AGCAGUCGCCGCGGGAAAACGUAGGUGGCAAGCGUUGUCCGGAAUUAUUGGGCGUAAAGGGCUCGCAGGCGGUUUCUUAAGUCUGAUGUGAAAGCCCCCGGCUCAACCGGGGAGGGUCAUUGGAAACUGGGAAACUUGAGUGCAGAAGAGGAGAGUGGAAUUCCACGUGUAGCGGUGAAAUGCGUAGAGAUGUGGAGGAACACCAGUGGCGAAGGCGACUCUCUGGUCUGUAACUGACGCUGAGGAGCGAAAGCGUGGGGAGCGAACAGGAUUAGAUACCCCAGUAGUCCCUGUCUCUUAUAC